AGACGGAAGCAAUAACACAAGAAAAACGCACACGACAGGGAAGAUACGCGCAAGCGGCGGAGGAAAUCGCCGCCGCGACUCGACUCGCGCAUGCGCGACGGGGUUGUUUUUCACAAAGCUGUUCGCAAAGUGAGCUGGUAGCGUGUGGGCAGCUGUCUUUGUGAGGAGAUCGCAGCGCUGGGCGGCUGUUGUCUCCUCAGUAAUUCCGAUGAAGCGUUUGUAGGGGACACGCUGAUCUUGUUGGCAGGCUCUUUGCGUGGCAGAGGCGUUGUUCAGUCUAGAGUGAGGAUCGCAUUUUGUAUGAGGCCUUUGAUUUUUUUUUUCUUACAGUAUAUUUUUAUAGACUUUGUUAUAAAGUAUGGUGCUGGGAAAGGUGAAGAGUUUGACGAUAAGCUUUGACUGUCUCAAUGACAGCAAUAUCCCUGUCUAUUCUAGCGGGGACACAGUCUCAGGAAGGGUCAGUUUAGAAGUUACUGGGGAUAUUAGAGUAAAAUCUCUUAAAAUUCAUGCAAGAGGACGUGCAAAAGUACGUUGGACUGAAUCUAGAAAUGCUGGAUCCAAUACUGCCUAUACACAAAAUUACACUGAAGAAGUAGAGUAUUUUAACCAUGAGGACGUUCUACUCGGGCACGAAAGAGAUGAUGACAAUUCUGAAGAAGGCCUUCACACCAUUCAUUCAGGAAGGCAUGAAUAUGCAUUCAGCUUUGAGCUUCCACAGAUACCACUUGCUACCUCAUUCGAAGGCAGACAUGGCAGUGUGCGCUAUUGGGUGAAAGCUGAAUUGCAUAGGCCUUGGCUUCUACCAGUAAAACUAAAGAAGGAAUUUACAGUCUUUGAACAUAUAGAUAUCAACACUCCUUCGUUACUGUCACCCCAAGCAGGCACAAAAGAAAAGACUCUCUGUUGUUGGCUUUGUACCUCAGGCCCGAUAUCCUUAAGUGCCAAAAUUGAAAGAAAGGGCUAUACCCCAGGUGAAUCAAUUCAGAUCUUUGCUGAGAUUGAGAAUUGCUCUUCCCGUAUGGUGGUGCCAAAGGCAACCAUUUACCAAACACAGGCAUUCUAUGCCAAAGGGAAAAUGAAGGAAGUCAAACAGCUUGUUGCCAACCUCCGUGGGGAAUCCUUGUCAUCUGGCAAAACGGAAACCUGGAAUGGCAAACAGUUGAAAAUUCCACCUGUUUCCCCUUCAAUCCUUGACUGUAGUAUAAUCCAUGUGGAGUAUUCAUUGAUGGUAUAUGUUGAUAUUCCAGGAGCUAUGGAUUUAUUCCUUAACUUACCGCUGGUCAUUGGUACCAUUCCUCUACAUCCAUUUGGUAGCAGAACAUCAAGUGUGAGCAGCCAGGGUAGCAUGAACAUGAAUUGGCUUGGUCUGACACUGCCUGAAAGACCAGAAGCACCUCCCAGCUAUGCAGAAGUGGUCACAGAGGAAAACAGACAGUCCAGCCUUGCACCUAUAGCUGCUUUUGAUGAUUUUGAGAGAGCCCUUCAAGGACCAUUAUUUGCAUACAUCCAGGAGUUCCGUUUUCUGCCUCCACCCCUAUAUUCAGAAGUUUAUUUUUAACAUGAACUCUGCAACCUUAAAUUUAAAAGGUGCUCUGUGAGGUGCCUUGGCUUCUCUAUCAUGCUAUUUCCUGCAGCUGCAGACCUGGAAGAUUGAUCCAAACCCAGAUCAGCCCACAGAUGAGAGACCAUCUUGCCCCUCUUGUUGAAGGAAUCCAUAAAAAGCUGACUUGACUUGGGUUUUGAAUCACACCUGCUGUGUUGAAGAUCAAGGUGUCAUAGUGGAGACUUGCUCUUAAAGGAAAUGGUAUUGCUAUGCUUGUAUAGUGAAUAAAUGAAAACAACCUGUGAUCAUACUUUGACACCUGCAGCACAUCAUAGGACUGUUCCACAUGCUUGAAAACCUGAGGCCCCCUCCCUUAAAUAGUGGCACAUACUAGGAGCAACCUUACCUAGUGUACAGUCAUGUUUCAAAACACUCAAACCACGUUGUAAGAGAGAAAUGGCUGCUGCUUCUGAUUUGAAAAUUUGCACAUGCUUAUUGCUUAUGUUAUGCAGUUCAGUGUCACUACAGCUUUUUCUCAUUUAUGAUGGACUGUUGUUACCCCCCCCCCCCAAUUGUUUGUGAUCUGCACAACAAGGAACAAAAGAAAGCUUUGACAAAAAAAAAAAAAAGGCGAUGAAGACUGACAAAUGCACUGACUUUUUUUUAAAUUUAAUGUAGCCUGGACUUUACCUGCAUAUGCACAUGCUCAGAAUUGUCCUAGUAGGCUGAUCAUGUAUCAUCUCUUCAGCUUGGAUCCUAUUGUGGAUUUAUUUACAAACAUCACAUGCCUUUAAGCCAAUCCUUCUUGCUGUUUUGCAGCCAACUGUAGUAGACAAGCAACAGAUAUGUGGGGGUGGGGGCAGAGAUAACAGAAGGAAACCAGUAAGAGGCUUAUCAAGAUUGUAUACCUUCUUGAUUUCUUUUAAUAAUUUGUUGCCUUUCUGCUAUUAUUGCAAAGCAACAUUUUUGUUACAGACUGCUUAAAGAUCACUUAAUCUCAGGUGAACUCAUCACUUGCCAAAC